GCCAAAUCUUGCCUCAGUGAGGCAGCUGUGAAAAUUAGUUGGAGCAAGGAUGCUUGUCAGAUAUUUCGCUUCAGUGAUGCACAAGUGAUGACUCCAUCCUCCAUCUGCAGGGCCCAGCAACUUCAACAGAGAGUAUUUGGAAACAAAGUGAGGAGUGCUUGCAGUCUUUCCAGCCUUUCCUCCUGACACUCCCUCAACCCAGCCUGGCGGCUGUCUGCAGGGCAUCGUAAUAUCUGAGAUAAGCGAGUCAUCUAGAAGCGGUGUAAAGUGCACAGGAAGUCCUGCUCACACCUAUGCCUAUGUCCGUUUUCUAGAAGGAAUGUGAGCAUCCCACGGUUUGGUAGCCUCAGUUUCCCUGGAAUCCAUCACAUGUAUACUGAGAAAUAACCAUGUGUGAAUCCAGUCAGGGUGGCCCCCAAACACAUGUACUGAGCAUUUCUGUUUCCAGGGAUCCCCACUGCCAUACUGAACAUGGAUGGGUCACACUCAGGAAAGGCCAGCGCUGUGCUGUUAGGCUGCUGCCAUGCUGGACCCGAGGCUCUUUCAAGAGAGGCCCUUGGCACUAUCCACAGUAGCCACACUAUGGAAGCAACCUGUGUAACUAACC
rnacentral:lncRNA from 1 species